UAUAGUGCAAUGGAUAGCACGUUGGACUUCUAAUCCGAAGGCUGUUGGUUUAAGUCCUACCAGCUUAA